GGAGAGGUGUCCGAGCUGGCCGAAGGAGCACGGUUGGAAACCGUGUAUGGCGUUAUUCGUCAUCGAGGGUUCGAAUCCCUCCCUCUCCGCCA
rnacentral:tRNA from 1 species